AUUGGGGUGUGGUUGGGUAAUGUGGGAGGGAGAGUGGGGUGUGAUUGGGUAAUGUGGGAGGGAGAGUGGGGUGUGAUUGGGUAUGUGGGAGGGAGAGUGAUGAUGCAAUGAAACGAAAUGCCUGUAUUCAGUGUAAAUAUGAACAGCUUGUUUGCUUAACUUGGUUUUGUUUUUGUUUUUCUUUGUUCGAUUUGCUUCUGUUUUGGCCUUUUAAAAUAUUUUCUCCGGCACAAUUAUAAUGAUGAAAGGAAAUGGUCAAUAAAGAUUUCCAUUUCAAAAGUGCCCCCUGCGACCAUUAUCUCAUGACAUCUGUUCUCUUCCAGUCCAUAUUCUACGGGACAUCUAUCAAAGCUCUUUUUACCCUUUUUUGGGCAAAGUAAUGACAUUGUGUUCAGUUUUUUGCAGUUUUGAUAAUGUAUACAAACACAGAAGAAAAUCACUCUUAAGCAUAUUAUGUGUACAAAAGUGUAAAAAAAUCUUUUUUUUCAAGUCAUCCGUUUUACAGAGAUUUCAGGCAAGCAUGACAAAGUACUCUAUUGAAACAGUUUUUGCCACUGCCUUUCAUAAAGUACGUUUGAUAUCAUUUUUCAUUUAUUUUGCAAAUCCAUGUAAAAUAGCUUUGUUGUCCACUCCUCAAAGUGAUAGAUGUUAGGCUAAUGCUGUAACAAAGUUAUUUUACAAAUAAUGUAUGUUGCAUUUUGUAAUUACAGCCAAACGUGUAAGAAUUAUACUUUCGAACAUAUGUCUUCUCCGUUAGACAGAUUUUAAGAAACAUAAAUAUUUCCGGGAGAAAAAAUCUGUCUUUCCAGGUAUUCCAGGCAGGUAUUAUUUAGUGUGUGCGGGAAGGACGUGAUUUACUUAAGAAGAGAAAGAUGUAUGUCUCUACAUUUAAUGGUCUUAUUUUAACGUGCACAGUUCCAUCAAACCUCGGUCAUGGUCCGUGUUUCCUCCAUGAUGUGUAGCCAUGUCCUGGGAAGUCUUAGUGGGUAACCUUUCGUUCUCUGAACGGUGGUGUCCAUCUGUACCUCAGUACUCUUGUGGAAUACUGGAUCCGUCUCUGCUCGUUCUGGACCACUUCCUUUGGCUUACUUUACCCCUUUUCAUGUUCAAACUGGCGUGGAUGUUUUGAGUCUUGCAUCUCCUGUUUCAGAAUAUGUCUAUUUAAUCUUAUCGAUAGAUCUUUGAGGCAUGGGGACCGCGUUUUCAGGGGGAAUGUUGCAAAAACACUGUUGAAACAACCGGCUGUAAAGCUUGACCUUGUUUAGUCUUAAUGUAGUAUUUGGUCUUAUCUGAUAAAGUUUUAAGUGCUAAACAGGAUCUGUGUAAGAUUGAACCUUCUCGUUGUUUUUCGGUUUUACAGCUUAAUGGUUUUAAGUGUCAGUAACCUUCCAGGCAGAUUCCACACCAGUGUAGACUGAACAGAUUUCUGGUAUCUCAGAUUGUUCUAAUUCUCAAAUCUAUAUUUCAUCGGGAGGAAGGAUGUUUGGCAUUCUUUUUCCAUGUGUAUCACAAACCAUAUAUUUUUAUUAAAACCAUAGUAAAAUGAGACAUUAGCCCCUUCACAGGCUGACACAUGAUACAGACAUCUUGGUGUCAUCACACUCCUUAUAGAGUACUGUAAAAUGCAGACACUCUGGGUUCUGAAAUACAAGUGUUCAGGUUAAUUUAUUAAACAUUAAACUAUUAAUAUGAAUAUCUCAAAAGUACCCUUUUAAAUUUUUAUAAGACAUUGUUUUCAGGCUACCCUGGCAUGGAAUCGCCCUCCUAGUUUAUUUUUUUUCCAUUUAACAUUUAUUUCUGUUAACUCAGUGACUUGGCAUUUGAAAUUAAAAAAGAACAAUAA
ensembl:lncRNA